rnacentral:tRNA from 1 species
UUAGUACUAGUACAUGGAUUAGUACUACUAGUACUAUUGAUACUAGUAAUUCUAUUACUAGUACAUGGACUAGUACUACUAGU